UACGAAGGGAGCUAGCGUUGUUCGGAAUCACUGGGCGUAAAGCGCACGUAGGCGGAUGUGUCAGUCAGGGGUGAAAUCCCGGAGCUCAACUUCGGAACUGCCCUUGAUACAGCACGUCUUGAGUCCGGAAGAGGUGGGUGGAAUUCCUAGUGUAGAGGUGAAAUUCGUAGAUAUUAGGAAGAACACCGGUGGCGAAGGCGGCCCACUGGUCCGGUACUGACGCUGAGGUGCGAAAGCGUGGGGAGCAAACCGG
rnacentral:rRNA from 1 species